GCCGGGCGUGGUGGCGUGUGCCUGUAAUCCCAGCUACUUGGGUGGCUGAGGCAGGAGAAUUGUUUGAACCCGGGAGGCUGAGGUUACAGUGAGCCGAGAUCAUGCCACUGCAUUCCAGCCUGGAUGACAGAGCAAGACUCUGUCUCAA
ensembl:misc_RNA Metazoa_SRP Metazoan signal recognition particle RNA